UGCCUUUUUGUGUUACCCAUUCAUAGUUUAUUGAGUGAAUGUGGUGUCAACAAAGGCAUACAUAAACAUUU